rnacentral:rRNA from 1 species
GAUGAACGCUGGCGGCGUGCCUAAUACAUGCAAGUCGAGCGAACGGACGAGAAGCUUGCUUCUCUGAUGUUAGCGUCGGACGGGUGAGUAACACGUGGAUAACCUACCUAUAAGACUGGGAUAACUUCGGGAAACCGGAGCUAAUACCGGAUAAUAUUUUGAACCGCAUGGUUCAAAAGUGAAAGACGGUCUUGCUGUCACUUAUAGAUGGAUCCGCGCUGCAUUAGCUAGUUGGUAAGGUAACGGCUUACCAAGGCAACGAUGCAUAGCCGACCUGAGAGGGUGAUCGGCCACACUGGAACUGAGACACGGUCCAGACUCCUACGGGAGGCAGCAGUAGGGAAUCUUCCGCAAUGGGCGAAAGCCUGACGGAGCAACGCCGCGUGAGUGAUGAAGGUCUUCGGAUCGUAAAACUCUGUUAUUAGGGAAGAACAUAUGUGUAAGUAACUGUGCACAUCUUGACGGUACCUAAUCAGAAAGCAACGGCUAACUACGUG